rnacentral:rRNA from 1 species
UACGUAGGGCGCAAGCGUUAUCCGGAAUUAUUGGGCGUAAAGAGCUCGUAGGCGGUUUUGUCGCGUCUGCCGUGAAAAGUCCGGGGGCUCAACUCCGGGAUCUGCGGUGGGUACGGGGCAGACUAGAGUGAUGUAGGGGGAGACUGGAAUUCCUGGUGUAGCGGUGAAAAUGCGCAGAUAUCAGGAGGAACACCGGUGGCGAAGGCGGGGUCUCUGGGGCAGUAACUGACGCUGAGGGAGCGAAAAAGCGUGGG